UUUUUUUUGGGGGGGGGUGGUAAUUAAGUUUAUUUAUUUAUUUUUACAGGAGGUACUGGGGAUUGAACCCAGGACCUCGUGCAUGCUAAGCCUGCACUCUGCCACUGAGCUAUACCCCUCCCCGACUCUUCGUCUUUACUGUACAAUUUGUGUUAGUUUUGCAGUAAAACAGGAAUCGAUUUUGCUCACCCAGUUUAUGUUGGAUCUUUGAUAAGAGGUGGAAUUCACUCAAGAAAUCUUGAGCCAAACAGUAGCCUGUGGUCGUCACAGCGUGCCUGGUGAGUGCCUAGUGAACCAUCCAGAUAGCCUCAUAGAUGGGACGGGAAAGGCCGCGAUCAGCUCAGUGAUGAUUCUAGAUGGGGCCUGGGCCUCCAUCCUGCUGUAAAGGUGUUUGUGCUGAGUGUCCUGAUAAUCCCCCGUGCUGACUUUGCACGGUACUUGGACAGUCAUUUCACUCGCCUGGCCCUCUGUUUUGAAGCUUGGAUUAUAGCCACCAAACUUACCGGCAUCUAAAUUCCUGCUAAAUCAAGCUGCAGAAUUAAAGUUAACCAGCCAGAACUGAGCAGUGAAGAGGCUUUCUUUUCUUUGCUGAAUUCCUUCCCUUUUACUCUCAGGGGGCUCUUUAAACAUGAGCUGCCUCACACAUUGUUAGCACACCUGUUAGGAGCGGUUUCUCUUUCUUCAAGCCUAUUUUCAUCUGGAUGAUAGGAAGUUUUUGCGCAAAGUGGGCACCAGAUCUUAGCUGAGAAAACUUGAUAGAACUGACUCUGAAAUGAUCUUUUAAGCUCGUGUGGCAUGGAUUAAAUUCAAGGGUACAAAUAAACAGCCAUGUCCAACUGGGUUUCUGAGAAGCACCUGCACACGCCCCCGUACACGUCAGUGCUCAGCGGGUUUCACGGGCGUUCCCACCUGUGACCCAACUGCAGUUCCCUCGCGUUAACGUGAGGUUUUCCUUCUCUUGAAGAAAACAAAAUACCUGCUAGGCUGUAGACACACAGCAGUUGGUUCUAGAGCUAAACUUUGAUUAGAGUUUCUUCAAUAAAAUUGUCAGUAAAUGUGAUCUCGUUGGAUGGAAACAAUUUGCAGGCUCAUGAUCAAUCUGAGGGGCACAGGGCAAGAUGCAAGUGUGAUGUUUGGGAAAAGUUUGUAACCAAGUUAAGCUGCCACAUUUCUGGGACGCAUCAAUGGGGGAAAAUCACAUGGAUUUGAAUCAAAUCAUUCAAUUUUGGUUUCAGCUAGAGCUUGUAAAGUUUUUUCUUUAUUGAAGUAUAGUCAAUGUUUCAGCUAGAGCUUAUAAAGUUUUUUCUUUAUUGAAGUAUAGUCAAUGUACAAUGUUAAUUUCUAGUGUACAGCAUUAAUUUAAACACGUGUAUAUUCCUUUUCGUAUUCUUUUUCAUUAUAGGCCAUUACAACAUAUUGAAUAUAGUUCCCUGUGCUGUACAGUAGGACCUGGUUAUUCAUUUUAUUUAUAGUGAUUAGUAUCUACAGAUCCUGAACUCCCAAUUUAUCCCUUCCCACUCCCUUUCCCCCCAGUAACCAUGUUUGUUUUCCAUGUCUGUGAGUCUCUCUCUGUUUUGUAAAUAAGUUCAUUUGUGGGCUCUUUUUUUUUUUUUUUUAAGAUUCCACAUAUAAGUGACAUCAUACAAUAUUUGUCUUUCUCUUUUUGGCUCACUUCACUUUGAAUGAUGAUCUACAGGUCCAUCUAUGUGGCUGCAAAUGGCCUUAUUCUUUUUUAUGGCUGAAUAGUAUUCACGUGUGUGUGUGUGUAUGUGUGUACAGCACAAUUUCUUUAUCCAGUCCUGGACACUUAAGCUGCUUCCAUGUCUUGGCUAUUGUAAAUAGUCCUGCUAUGAACACUGGGGUGCAGGUGUCUUUUUGAAUUACAGCUUAUUCCUGGCGUAUGCCCAGGAGUGGGACUGCUGGGUCACAGGGUAAGUCUAUUUUUAGUUCUCAUAAAGUUGUGAUACUCUCCAAUCAUCAGGCUUUUUCUGAGUCCCUAUCGUGUGCCAAAAAAUUCUUAGAGGGCAUUAGUGGCAGGGAGGUGUGGGGGACAGGGGCGAGUAAGACACCACCUGUGUUCCGGAUGCUUCCAGCCUGUUGGUUAAGGCAGGCAGGUUGAUGGAAUUGUCAGCACCUUGGGGAAGAGGGGCUGUGAGGUGGCAAAAGCGGUACCAGGUGGCUGGAGACACAGCCCUACCUGCCCUCACUCACUGCGUGCCGGGGGCUGUCCUGGGCCUUGGGUCUGUCACCUCACGGCAACUUUAUAGCGUUUGUUGCCUUAAUUUGUGGAGUGAGAAACAGGUUCAGUUUAAGUAACGUGUUCAAAUCAUACACGGGAGAGCAGGCCAGACUGCUCUGGCUCAUGAUUCCAGGUGGCUGCAGGGCUCUGAAGUGUUUGGGUUCCUUAACUGUUGUAUCCAUCAUUUGUAACUUGAAUCACAAGUAAUCUGUAAUUUGUGUAAGUACUGAAGUUAGUGAAUGGUUUAGUAUGUGUAUGUGUGUACGUGCACAGGCUCAGGGAACCCUGUGACGAUGAUUAGGUGAUGCUUUUCCAUGAGCUUUCUUUAGUGGGAGAAAGGAGCCGGCCGGUGCCCGACCCGGGCUUGGCCGGGGAAGGCCCUCUGUGCGAAUCGUCCUUGUUGCCACCACUGAUCUUCCCCCUCCCGUGCCCCCUUCCUUUCUGUCCCCAGGCCAGGGGUUACUGCACAGUGGCGACCACGGGCUCUGCUACCUAGGGAAGGAUUUAUGGCUGAGGAUGAUUAGUUCCCUGUAGCCAAAGACGCUUCAGAACACACAGUUGGACAAAGUUGGUUUUAUUGACCCAUCGAAUGAAGGGAGUCACAUGCCCUGGAGAGUCUCAGUGCGAGGGUGUUAGGAUUUAGAGGAUUUAGGCUUUUGUUUGGGGCUUGGAGGGAGGGCUCAAGGAAGUGGGGCUUUCUUCUGGAUUGGAUGUUGUCAGGAAGCAGGAGAACCCUGUGAUCAGGCACCUUGAUGUUCACGGAGAAGAACAGAGUGAGGCUAAAGGCUGGGAUCCAUAAAGAAGUGGUGGUCUCGGGGUCGGGGGGCACAUGGGUCCGCUUUAGGGUUUGGAUGAUAUUCGUGUUUUGUCUGUGUUUUAUGGAGACGUAAGUCAGGGAAUCAUCUGAUGUUUGCCAUCACAGUCGCAAAGUGGCCUUGUCUGAUGGUGUCCUGGGAAGUUGUCGGGGAUCCACAGGAGAACACAGCAGCCUCGCCGUGGGUGCCAGGCCAGCUCAGAGCAACCCAGGCCAGGCCAUCAGUUCCCACUGCCAGGGGCUGUGUGUCUCUCUCAGGGUGCGCUCACCCCAGGAUUAGAGGGCCUGGGUGUUCUGUGACCAAGUCUUCCCUUCUGUUUGAUUAACAGGCACUGAGCACUUCCUGUGUCCUGAGCGUGGGGUGGAGGGACAGGCCACAGACACCCCGUGCUGUGGCUCCAGCCUUCAGAGGCUUCUUCGGUGCCAUGACGGUGCCUCGGGCCUUCUCAAAUGCCUGACUUCGCUCACUUCCUGUCACACUUGGCGGCUGAUGCAGCCGGAUUUAGGGCUGUGCCAGCCUUCACUCUCUACUGCCCCAGCCGUCAGAGGAUGCUUGUGACCUGGGCUCAGUGCCUUUGCCUUUUUAGUAACCGGGCUGUAUUGCAGGACAGCAAAACACUGCAAUAUAGCCUCACAUUCAAAUGUGCCCGAAUUGAUUUCUACAGACAGACAUCUGUAAUGAUGCUCUGGGAGGGAUGGAGGUGUGGUGGUUAGCGUGGGCGGUGGGGUGGGUGGAGCUCAGAGGGGCAGGGAAAAGGAAGGUCUUCCCUGGAAAGGCCACCCCAGGGUUCUGUGGACAGUGCCUUCUGCAGACUGGGUGAAUCAAGUAAGUUCAGCAUUGAAACCCCAUUCUCUUGUUCGACCACUGAGAACAUCUCUGCUCAGCCGUGAGGUGGGAGAGGAGCCGCCUUUCCGGGGAUGGAAGCCCCAUUUGCCUGCAUCUCUGUCGGCCUCGGCCCCUGAAUGUCUCUGUGAUGACAGAGGGAGUGCCCAGGUUCAAGGGCAUUCCAGCCUGAGCUUCAAACGGAGUUGUGCUCAUCCUCAUUUAAUUUCAGAAGCUGUGGGUCUCCAGUCCCUGAUGAGUUCAGUUCAGAUCAGAACCCUGAUCCAAGUUUAGCUCUGCUUGGCCCCUGUUCCUGGGCCAGCCCUGCUGCCUUCUGUUUGUCUGCAGACCCGUGAGAAGCCAUCACAAGGUGGCAGCCCACAGGGAGCACAGGCGUGGUCGAGAACAGCGCUGCCCAGGGGGAAACUGAGCCGCAUUUGUAAUUGUGAAUGUCCUGGUAGCCGCACUACAGAGGUAAAAAAAACAACAACAAAAGCAAAAAACAAAAACAGACAAAAAACUAGGACAAAUAAAUUUUAAUAAGGUAUUUAACCCAACAAAUCUAUUUUUUUACCUGUAAUCAAUAUUUUACUUUUUUUGGUGCUAAUUCUUCAAAAUGCCGUGUAUAUUUAACUUCAGUACAUCUCAUUUUGGACUACUUUUUUUUAAGAUUGUAUUUUUUUUUUUUUUUUGGUGUAGGAGUUUUGCAUUAUUUUUAUUUAAAAAAAACUUAAUGGAGGUACUGGGGAUUGAACUCAGGACCUUGUGCACAUUCAGCACGCGCUCUACCACUGAGCUAUGCCCUCCCCGCCGCAAGAGCCACAUUUCCAGUGCUCAGUAGCCACACGUGGUGAGUGGUCACAGGACUGGGGGAUGCGGCUCUAGAAGUGAAUGGGGACUCUGGUGGUGUCCUUGUUCUGGCUUCUUAAAGGCCCCUUUGAUUUCCAGGAGCAAGCCUCGGUUCCCUUGUGGCCCUCGAUGUUUCUGAGAGCCCACAGAGAGCUGAGUCAAAGGGAAGGCUCCCCACUGGGGUCCCCUCAGUUGCCCCAGUUUGAACUGAGACUUUGGUGCCUCCAGCAGAUGACCUUUUUGGCCUUAUAUGUGACCUUCAUUCCAGAAAAGAGAGCACCUUUCAGCUUCUAAGUUAAAUGAUUAUUUUAGUUGAGAUGUACUGUUUUUUCUGAGAGAGGUAAGUAAGAUGGAGAGAGUAACCUUGAUUUGGAAUUCCGUUCUUCCGCUCACUACCUCUGGACAGGUUCACCUGUAAGCCUGGAUUUCCUCAGUGUAUAACAUGAGUAUAAAAAUGUACCUUUUAGGGUUAUUUUGAGGAUGAAAUGACUAGUUCAUGCUGAGUGUUGAGAGCAGUUUGUUGACACAGCACAUAAUAAAUGUUCCAUCCCUAUUAGACUGCUGUGGACUUGUUUUCUAGACUUCCUUGGGCCUCAGAAUUAAGAGCAUUGGGAUGUGCAAAACAGCUUGCUGAAAAUAAUCUGCGGGUGCAGUGGCUGGGGACACCAUGAACUGAGUCAUAGGUGCCUGGGGGUUCACUACUGUCUGCUUUUGGACGUGCGAUAUUUUCCAUAAUAAAAUUUUUCUUCAAAUGGCCUGCCAGCUUUUUGUUCUGAAAUUUGAUGAAAGAAAAAAAUUGUUAACAGUAAUUUUAGAUGCCCCUUUGAAGUGCCACAUAGGAUUGUUGAGGGAUGUGUGUGUGUGUGUGCGCGUGUGUGUGUGUGCAUGAGGGAAAGCCUCGAAGUGUAGGUGGUCAUUUAGCUGCAUCUUAAAAAUUUUUUUUUAAUUGAAAAAAUUUUUUCAGCUUUAUUGGGGUAUAAUUCACAUAUCAUACAAUCCCCCCUUUGAAAGCAUACAGUUCAGUGGUUUCUAGUAUAUUCACAGGGUUGUGCCUCUGUCACCACAAUUCUAGAACAUUUUCGUCAACCCGAAGAGAAACCCUUCGUCCAUUAGCAGCCACUCCCUGUUUCCCCCCAGUGCCUUCCCCACCCCGUUCCCCCCGUCCUAGGCAACCGUGAAUUUACUUUCUGUCUCUAUAGAUUCGCCUGUUCUGGACACUUCAAAUAAAUGGAAUCAUAGAGGA